UACGUAGGGUGCGAGCGUUGUCCGGAAUUAUUGGGCGUAAAGAGCUCGUAGGCGGCUUGUCACGUCGGUUGUGAAAGCCCGGGGCUUAACCCCGGGUCUGCAGUCGAUACGGGCAGGCUAGAGUUCGGUAGGGGAGAUCGGAAUUCCUGGUGUAGCGGUGAAAUGCGCAGAUAUCAGGAGGAACACCGGUGGCGAAGGCGGAUCUCUGGGCCGAUACUGACGCUGAGGAGCGAAAGCGUGUGGAGCGAACAGG
rnacentral:rRNA from 1 species